UAGGGAAUCUUCCACAAUGGACGAAAGUCUGAUGGAGCAACGCCGCGUGAGUGAUGAAGGGUUUCGGCUCGUAAAACUCUGUUGUUGGAGAAGAACGGGUGUCAGAGUAACUGUUGACAUCGUGACGGUAUCCAACCAGAAAGCCACGGCUAACUACGUGCCAGCAGCCGCGGUAAUACGUAGGUGGCAAGCGUUGUCCGGAUUUAUUGGGCGUAAAGCGAGCGCAGGCGGUUUUUUAGGUCUGAUGUGAAAGCCUUCGGCUUAACCGGAGAAGUGCAUCGGAAACCGGGAGACUUGAGUGCAGAAGAGGACAGUGGAACUCCAUGUGUAGCGGUGAAAUGCGUAGAUAUAUGGAAGAACACCAGUGGCGAAGGCGGCUGUCUGGUCUGCAACUGACGCUGAGGCUCGAAAGCAUGGGUAGCGAACAGGAUUAGAUACCCUGGUAGUCCAUGCCGUAAAACGAUGAGUGCUAAGUGUUGGAGGGUUUCCGCCCUUCAGUGCUGCAGCUAACGCAUUAAGCACUCCGCCUGGGGGAGUACGACCGCAAGGUUGAAAC
rnacentral:rRNA from 1 species